CCCUUAGAUGUUCUGGGCCGCACGCGUGCUACGCUGAGUGGAUCAGCGGGUCAGGUUGCGCGAAAGUGUUUCCUAAUCUUGAAAUCCGCUCGUGAUGGGGAUUGACGGUUGCAAUUUUCCGUCAUGAACGAGGAAUACCUUGUAAGCGCGGGUCAUCAUCCCGCGCUGAAUACGUCCCUGCCCUUUGUACACACCGCCCGUCGCUCCUACCGAUUGAGUGGUCCGGUGAGGCUUUGGGAUCUGAGCGGAAAGAGCGUUUCGCUGUUUCUGCCCGGAAAACUCAGUCGAACCUUAUCAUUUAGAGGAAGGAGAAGUCGUAACA
rnacentral:rRNA from 1 species